rnacentral:rRNA from 1 species
UGGGGAAUAUUGCACAAUGGGCGCAAGCCUGAUGCAGCCAUGCCGCGUGUAUGAAGAAGGCCUUCGGGUUGUAAAGUACUUUCAGCGGGGAGGAAGGGAGUAAAGUUAAUACCUUUGCUCAUUGACGUUACCCUCAGAAGAAGCACCGGCUAACUCCGUGCCAGCAGCCGCGGUAAUACGGAGGGUGCAAGCGUUAAUCGGAAUUACUGGGCGUAAAGCGCACGCAGGCGGUUUGUUAAGUCAGAUGUGAAAUCCCCGGGCUCAACCUGGAAACUGCAUCUGAAACUGGCAAGCUUGAGUCUCGUAGAGGGGGGUAGAAUUCCAGGUGUAGCGGUGAAAUGCGUAGAGAUCUGGAGGAAUACCGGUGGCGAAGGCGGCCCCCUGGACGAAGACUGACGCUCAGGUGCGAAAGCGUGGGGAGCAAACAGG